UCACCUCUCUCUCCUCUCCUCCCUCUUUCUCUCUGUUUAUCUCAGGCUCCAGUGACCUCUCUCAGCAUUGGGACAAAUUUAGCGGCCUGGUUACUGGAGCGACCAAAUAGCCGGAGACAAUAGAGAGAAAGUGGAUGUGAGUGUGUGUGUUCAUGUGUGUGUUUCUGAGAAACGAGUUGAGAGAGCAGAGAGCUCCUGGUUCCACAAAUCCAGUUAAAGACACAGAGACACAAACAGCCGAGCAGGGAGUAAACAGACUGGGACCGCUGGUCCAGGGGAAUGCAGACUGGGGGGAGUCUCCAGUCUCCAUACUCCACACAACCAACAGCACCAAGGACACAGAAGCUCUAUCUCAAAUAAUCCGGGACAUGGAGCGUGGAACUUGUGCAGCUUCCUGGCGCAGGUGAAGCAGGUUAGCAGGCUUUCCUGACUCUCUCCCCCAGAGAGCUGCUCCUCCCUGGGAAGGCCUCGCGGCCUAGGACCCUUGCCUUUCCCUGGAACCCCGGGGGGCAGCAGGCGGUCAGGGGUGGAGUGUGAGGGCAGGAUGACGGGGUCAGAC